UUGCGGUUAAAAAGCUAGUAGUUGGAUCUCGGCAAGUAGAGGGCGGUAUGCUUCGUAGCAUUACUGCCCUAUUACUUGUAGUUUUGCCAGAGGUUCCUGGGUGCUCUUAAUCGAGUGUCUAGGGAUGCUGGCAGGUUUACUUUGAAAAAAUUAGAGUGCUCAAAGCGGGCUAUUACGCUUGAAUAUUCGUGCAUGGAAUAAUAGAAUAGGAAGUUGUUUCUAUUUUGUUGGUUUUCGGAAAUCGACUUAAUGAUUAAUAGGGACAGUCGGGGGCAUUUGUAUUCAAACGACAGAGGUGAAAUUCUUGGACCGUUUGAAGACAAACUACUGCGAAAGCAUUUGCCAAGAAUGUUUUCAUUAAUCAAGAACGAAAGUUAGAGGUUCGAAGGCGAUUAGAUACCGCCCUAGUUCUAACCAUAAACGAUGCCAGCUAGCGAUCUGAGGACGUUUUUUUUGUAGACUCCUCAGGAAGCUUCCGGGAAACCAAAGCGUGUGGGUUCCGGGGGAAGUAUGGUUGCAAAGCUGAAACUUAAAGGAAUUGACGGAAGGGCACCACCAGGAGUGGAGCCUGCGGCUUAAUUUGACUCAACACGGGAAAUCUCACCAGGCCCGGACACUGGAAGGAUGGACAGAUUGAGAGCUCUUUCUCGAUUCGGGUGGGUGGUGGUGCAUGGCCGUCCUUAGU
rnacentral:rRNA from 1 species